ACCGGGAUCACACACCUCAUUUGUUCAAAAAGUUUCUCUCUCUUCUCAAAAUACUCAGAGUUGCUCUGCAACUCCCUCCAUACUCUCUGUUCACACCUUACCGGGGAAUAUGGUGGUCUCCGGCCAACGGCGGUGGCGCCGCCUUCUUCUCCGGCGAACCCUCAACCAAAACGACAAAAAUAAACACUACCCCGCUUAUUUUUGGCCCGGGAUCACAAAUUCGGCCUUGUUUUGCUCAAAAAGUCCCUUAAACCAACGAAUCGAACUCAACCACACCAAACAAACAAAAGUCAAAACUCAACAAUAAAAGCUUUCCGGCUAAUGUAAUAAGAUCAAGAUGGAUAAAUAGGAAGCUUAAAAAGAAACCAACCAAACGUGCUUGAAGCUACGACGAGGGUCCUUCAGCGCGAUUCAUGUUGGUCUCGUUCGGAAGCAAGCCGCCGGUGAUGCCUUCUCUCUCCUGUCUUCAGAUAAGCUUCCUUCUUAUCUUCUCUUUUACUGUGUUUUUGGGUUAAAGCUCGUUUAGGUUAAAGCUUCAAUGUGAAACUUUAGCUUAAACUUGAGGAUUCUUGAGCUUUAGUGAAAAAGGAUUUUAGAGAUUUUAGCAGAGUUUUGGUAGCGUUAUUUUUUGCAAUGACUAAGGCAACUCUAUUUAUAGAUUUCACCUGAAAUCCUCCCAAUCAUGAGCUGGCGUAUCCGAGAUAGAUCUUUCCGUUAGAAAAAAAAAAUCCUUUUCGAUUCGUGGGGACCAAUCCGUUAGAGGUAUCCCUCUGAAAAAAUGGUAACUUUGAAUGUUAUCCACACAUCCCUUACAACUACAGGACUUUCAAACAUUGAGCGCUUAUUUUCAAAGGUGAUGCUUGGUCUCUCCAAAAACUGCGACUUCAUUUUAUCAGGUGCAUUUGAACUGCCCCCUUGGAAAGGUAAUGAAAAUGGAGGUCAAUCUUUCAAUUAGCGGAUGCGUUCGGUUGUAGACAUGUUCUUAACAAAUGGUUUCUUUUAGACAAAGGCAUCUCUCCCUCCAAUCCUUUUCAUUCAUCAUUCUUUGGAUCAACAGAAAUAGAGCAAAUGUCGGCGCCCAGCGCGGAUCAUGGUAUCUUUGUAAACCUUUGAGCAUACACGGCCGAGCUUCCUCUUCGAGAUGCUCAAUCUGUCUUUCUUCCUGUUUUCAAAUUAUGAAAUAACGUAAGAAAAAGUCUAUUAAAGUUAUAUACAUGAUAUGUAUUUUUUAAACACUUGUAACAAAAUCCAUAAAUUGGAUAAUACCUAUGUGUUACCAAGGAGAUAAGCAUGGGCCCUUAUUGUAAUAUAUUUUGUGAAUUUAGAACA